rnacentral:lncRNA from 1 species
UUAACUUAUUUAAAAUAAAGAAUUAGAUUAUUUACGGAUGCAGCGUAAACAUGAAGUUAUGCACAUUCAAUCAUUAAUGCACACAUUAUGAAUUAUUGAGAAUAAUAGUCAAGUUUUUUUUGAUUAUUUUGAAAAAUCAUAAUGUGUUAACUUUAAUGAAUAUAUGUAAACUUUAUAUUUACACUACAUGCAUAUAUAAAAUUAGUCUCGUAAAUAAAAGGAUCCCCAAUGUGCAUUUUGGAGGUUGAUUAAUUGAUACUAUUGAUACAAGGCAUUUCAGUUAUUACCUUGGAAUAUCCUUGGUAUAAUUUGAUAGUCAUGAAUUUUUGUUAUUUUCCAAACGCGUAGUAAAGAACUGUAACUACGAGUAGUAUUUUGCUAAAGCUUAAGUUGUCCGAUAUAGAUUCCUUUGGAGAUUCGCCAUUGUUGUCCAUACCUACCAAAUGAAGAACAAGAGAUAGUAAGAUGUGGGUAACACUACAUGCGAGGUGUGGCUAUACACAAUGCGGGUUCCAAAAAUUUUGUUAAUGGGGUUAUGCAUUUAAAUUUUUUUGUCUAAUAGUGUUAAUGAGAUCAAAUAAUUUUUUUUUUAUGGGUUCAAUUGUUUAAAAAAUUAUAUAUAAAACACACACAAACAAAAAAGAUUAAAUAUUUUUCAAAGGCUAAUGGGUUCUGCUUCUAUCCCAUCAGCUGUAUGUGGGUCGCCCUGACUAUACACGGAUACAAAUACAAUUACUCUAAUAAGUUAUAAAAAUUUCCAAUUCUUCUCAACCGGUCCCUACCAUCCUUACACAAAACCAACCCAUGGGUUCAGACUUAAGAGGAUCCCGUGGGUGUGUAGGGUGACAAAACCAUAUGUAAAUUCUUAUAACCUACUUUGACCGCGGCACAAUCCACAUAUAUACAGCUUUGAAAAACAUAUAUAUGAUUAUUGGAAAAAUGAAAAUGUUCCAAUAUUAAAGCCUUUAAUUUCUUAUUUAAAUUAAAAACAAUUCAAACAUAAGUUCAGUUAUACCCAACAUCCUUGUUGAGAGCUUGUAAAGGGGACCAAACACAGAUCUAAUUCUUCCCAAAUGUGUACUCUAAGCCCAGUUUGGAUAAAACGAGAUUUUUGGAUUAUAUUUUUUGGUGAAUAUUUUCAUUUUUUUUUAGUUCUUUUUUAGUACGGAAAAUUAAAAUAAUUUUGGUAAUGUUUGAUUUAUUUGGAUUUAAGUGUUUUUUUGUAUAAAAUUAUUUUUUUAUUUUUUGAUUACUCAUAAUCAAGAUGAACUAGAAAAUAAAAAAUUUAACCGAUGACAAAAAAAAGUCAUUAAAAGUGUCAAUAUUUUAAAAAAAGGAUUGAUUUUUACUCUCCUUUUCUUCCAGUGCACUAAGUUUUAGUUUUUAUUAUGUAAAUUCAUCUUAAAUUACCCUUUUGUUUAUAUUUUUAAAAUAUUUUUGUUCAAAAGUGUUUAACAACAUAGAAAGAAAUUUAGUAAUUUCACCCUAGGUAACAAACAAAAGAAGAGGGGUACAAAUAAUUUAAAAAAAAGGGAGUGUCAAAAUCACUGUUUGUAGAAGAAAAACUAAUUUUAUUUCAAAUUAGGCCUAGAUGAAGCAACAAUAUUCAUUAUGACUUAGAGCACUGAUACUUAACCCCAUAUUAUUCCAUCAUGCGUUGUCAAUCGACUCCACCGAAAAAAACAAAAGGACCAACUAAGAAAAAUUAUUUAGUGGUCCACGAUCAACGCGUUAAUGGAGGAUAACACUUAUGAUAGGCCUCACAUGAAAAAGCGGAAGUAAGUUCCUCAUUGUAUACUUUUGCAAGAUGGAUCGACAAGAAAGCAUGAAGACCCUAUAUGUGAUAACACUUAUGAUAGUAGGCCCUACCAUUAAAAAGCGGGGUUAAUUAAGUCCUCAUUGUAUACUUUUGCAGGACGGAUGCGUCGACAAGUAAGCCAUGAGACCCAUACUAAUCUUGUGACCCGAUCGUAAAUGGUAGGACCAAAAACUGUCAUGUCCUAUUAUGGUUCAGCGGAGUUUUUUGGGCCUCCAAAGCAGAGUUUUCGGCCUCCAUCCCAGAAGUUUGGCGAACGAAAGGGGCCAAACCACAAUUAAAGAGCAAGUGCCGUCAUAUGAGGAUUGCUUCUCUUUUCUCUUGUUGAAUAGUAGUUACCGCCACCACUUUGUACAAUUCAAUCACCAUUCGUUCCAGCUCAACAACUACUUUACUACAAUGACAGAAAAAAUGGCAACUACAGAUAUACGAAAAAACAAGCUUCGAGAAAGCCAGAAAAAGAAAAGUCGCAUAACGCAGCAAAACAAACGAGACAAUUGAAGAAAGUCGUCAUUAUGAUGACUAUAGGCAAUCUUUGAUCUUAAACAUACAGAUACAGAUAUUUGCUACUGCAGAUUGGAAACAAGGAAAACCAAAUAGAAUCCACUGUAAAAUCAUGGCCCAACUGAAGACGGAGCGAAGAAAUAUCACAUUUCUGUUCAGACAAUGCGAGAGACGGUUUAUAUGAACACAAAAUAACUAUCAACCAAUAGCUACGUGUAUCUACAUGAAUAGAUCCUAGUCUUCUAGUGUCUUUUCCUAACAUUUUACAUGGUUUUCCCCAAAAGCUCGGGCCCUCACAAGCUGCUAACAAGGGAUUUGCUGGAGUCCUGAUGAAUACAGUGAAAAAAAAAAAAAAGGUAGAAAGGAUUGGCGGUAAAGGGUUUCAGAACAAAAACCCAGACCUGACCACGUAUUUCGUGUUAUUACAGCAGCAGAUGGGCGCAGUUCGUUCUAUAUAGAUAGUUCUUUCCACCCAAAUCCGACCCCAUUUCCUUGAGGCCUUCAAGCCAGUGAAAAUCGUUCUAUUCUGCACAAGUAUUUAACCUACGGUGCCAUCUUCCUAUUGGCAUGAAAGGUGGCCUUGUAGAAUAGUUGUUGCUAUUGAACGGCCUUGGUCGGAAAUUUAUUCACUUGAUAAGAGAGAGAUCAUCAGAAUUUCCCAGUCUUUGUGCACCAGCAGUAGGAGGAGGAUCGUGACAUUACCCACAAACAGAGCAAGGAUCGGUUCCAUACUUUCUUGCCUUCCAAUGCACCACCCCACCGGGGAACAACCAUGUCUCGACCGCGAAACAAAAGUUCCGAAUCAAUUUGUCGAGGACAGGGUCAUCGUGGUUGGAACUUCAUUGACGAACGGGGCUUGCUGUCAACAUCCUUGGACAUGUCAUCAAUGGUGAGGUAGUGCGGAUGCUGGAUGCCUAGGAGGGUUGUCCCAGGAUAUGAAGUGCAGGUCACUGUUCACCGGUGGAUUAUCGAGAAUUCUGCAGAUUGGCAGAUACAGUGUUGUGGUGGAAAAUAGGGGAUAGGAAAUAGCAUUCGGGGAGGAGAGGAAAGAGGAGAGAAUUUGCAUAGUACAUGAGGGAACGUUCGAGGUGGGUUAAGUUGUCCCAUCCCCAAUGCAAAAAUCAACAAAUGAUCGAGAGAAAGUGCCAUCCAAGCAGAACCGACAAGUAAAGAAGAAAAUUUAGAUUCAGUAACCUAGACUUCAAAUAGCGAUUGCUUUUUAAACAAUAUGGAGUUACAAUCCCAAGUACUACAAGAAUUUUUAACAGAACUGCCAACCAGGUGUAAAAAAAAUCCAAGCAUGGACAUGAAUUUUCGUGUAUUCUUCACCUAGCAUCGAAUUAUUUGCCAGUAUCUGGUGAAAAAAACUUAAAAGAGUUCAAGAAUCUUUUCAACUUUAUGUCAUAUUCAGUUGAAAAUCAUACACAUCUCAAGAAGAAACUGAGAGAGAGAAAAAGAGGGCUUAUAAUCAACAUAAUGAUAUUGGGAAAUUCUUGCUCUGAAUUCACCGAAUUAACCAAGCAUGGAGAGACAAAGACAAGUGAGCAAGGUGAACUCUUUCCCAAUCCUUCGAUGCCUUAGUCUUAUACUGUAGAAUGACCAAUCAUAAUAACAUAAUACCUUUUAACAGUGAGGUAUGGUCUAGUUACCUGGAAUAUGGAACGUUCCGGUACAAGGAUAGGGACAUAAAAUGCCGUACGCCAGUCUUAAUUGUAGCUAUUGAUAGGGGUAGGAUAUAUAUAGGUUAUGCCAUUAGAAUAUACAUUUCCAAGCAAUAAAAUCUAAUAGAACCAUCGUAAGUUGUGUGAAUUAUCCAUGCAAACAAUAUAUUUUAGGAAUGCCGACUGACAUAACCAAAUUUUCACACUUUACCAUUCUAUGACUUGUUUUUUUUAUUCAAUGAAAAAUAUUUUUGAAAUAAGAAUGAAAAUUUCGGGAUCACUAAAUUCACCGUUUCAUAAUGGAAUUGUACCAUAUUUCGGAUCCGCGUUCCAAUUCGUAGUUCGCUACGGUAUUGGCUAUUCCUCGUAACUCAUGUAUGGUUCAUAUAGCAGUCACUAGCAUUAACACACCUCAAUAAAAAAAAAUAAAAAAAAAAGGAAUCUUUAGGUUUCAUAGGUAAGGCAUCGUUUUUGAUAGGCUCUCUUUCUGUAAAGUUUGCACCCCCUUCUGGGGCUUCGCUAUUAUAUACAUGCACAUUCUAGGGGGAAAAAGGGUUCUCUAAUAUUACAGAUCAUCUUCUCUAUUAUAUUCAUACACACUUCUAGGGGGAAAACGGUUCUCUAAUAUUUUACAGAUCAUCUGGUCACGUAUUAAUGCAACAUCAUAAAGUUUGGCAAAACGAUAUCUUAACUCAGAAAAAUGUAAGAGUACACAUUAGAGGCCAAUCUAAGGUUGAAAUCAUAUAGGUACAGUUUGGAUAAGUUAAUCACGAUUCUAAACUCUACAAACUUGAAAUUUGCAAAUUAAGUCUACAAGUUGAGCUGCUUACGUUUCUAAAAACACCACCAGAUUCUCGACUUAAAACAAUCUCAAUGAAUGCCUGACAUUAGGGUUUCUAAAACAAGCAGUCUGCUAUACUCUAAAAUAAGCACUUUCCCCAGUUACGUACUUCGAUUGAAGGCAUGUGUUUGAUAAAGAAAAAAGAAAGGAACAAAGAAAGAUGCCAAAAAAAGUAAAAGCAAAUACAACUACAAUCACACAGAUCAAAAGUUUCUCCUCUACUUAAUCCAAGUUUCUCCUCUACAUAUCCAAAUGUGUAGAAGAAGAAACUUCCUUAUCCCAGAAGCUUAGAAGUCCUGAAAGCAACAUUGUUUGCCUUUUUUUUUUUUUUUUUUUGCCAAGUGUGUAAAAGGAAACCUCAUUCUUCCCUCCCUCUGGUCUGGAAUUGCUAGUCUCUCAGGUUCCUUACUGAAAUAUCAUACAUCAUCAGUUAUACGGAACAGGGUAGUGGUACAUAGAACCACGGAGUUUCUUCUUCGAGAAAGUGCCUCUCGAAGUACAUUUCAAUUCCACAGAUGACAAGAAUGUUAACACAUGAAAAGAAGACAUCAUCAUUUGUCGUCAUCAAAUUGGUUACAAUUUGGAGGAGAGAAACUCCCUCACCAUAUAAUUGAUUGGGUUUUUAUUGUAGAGAGAAAUAGCCCUUGCUUACAAGCUACAUAAAGAAUAAUGGAAUAAUAGCAUUUCCAUUAGCUUUCCACAACUUCAAUUCACCAACAUACUUAGGGGUGAUAUACAACAAGUUGCUUGGGCUUGACUCAUGUGUUGACUCGUUAAAAGCUUGUUGAGGAUGGAUUGUUAUUUAAAACAAAUCAAGCUGCCAUAUUUUGAAAGCUUGUUAACAAUUUUCAACCCAAGCUUAAAUAAUUUUACUGUGCGGGCGCUCGAUACCUAUAAAUUGUAAAAGUCCAGCUACUUGAGCUUGGUUCAUGAUCGUGUGGAAUAUUGAUCGUUGAGCUCGGUUCGCUUUAUAAACAAGCCAAUUCAUAACCUCUUUGUAAAGAUCGUUAGGUUUUCCUCUAUCCCCCUAAACAGUAUCAUAUCAAUCAUUUCUUGGACAUAGUGUGAUUAGAUUAAAAAAACAAAAAUAGUAACUAACAAAUUCCAUUUAGAUAGAUAAACCAAGUGGGCAACCAAAAGACAAUAAGAUAGUUAAUCAGAGAAGGAAUGUGAGUAAAAGAAUGCCAAAGUGAACCUGUGAAAGCUUGAAAAAGCUGUAGGCACACUUCUUCGCUGCGUAAUCCAGAAAACAUCAGCUUUCUCGUUGCCAUGUACAACCCCCGGUCGAUAAUUAUCGUUUUGCCCGCGACACCUACAUAUUUACAAGUCCAAUUCAAUCCUGAUGUAUGUCUAAGCUACUUACUAAAAUUAGUACUAAAAGAGUUUCUGAAAAUGAACAAAUUCGCCUCCUCUUUCCACCCAAUAUCACUUGUAAUGAGCGAUGUAAUUUAAGAUCCGCGGCAGAAACAAAAGGUGAAGCCGAUCUGAAUCAAACCGAAUCAAAACCCUAAUCAUUUUAACCAAGCAAAGUACAGAACAUUCGAUUAAUCAAAGCUAAAGAAGUAAAUCGAAUACAAAAUCCACUCACCAUCUUGAGUGACAAGUGGAUAAUCCGAAGCACGGAGAUUGAUAAACCAUCCCACUCCCCCACCUCCCUUCAACAAUCGCCGCGCGUGCAGCGUAUUCGCUACCAUCGUCGUGAGUAGGGGCGGGGCCCCCGUAGGUCCCAAAUUCGCCUUCGCAAUCAUCACCACAUUGUGUUUGAAUUUGACAUGGUGGUAUUAGCGACGAAAUCUCUGCAGAUCGACUCGCUCCUCGGGUGGCUAGUCGGCGUCGAGGUGGACCACGUAGCGAUGUUUGGAUAUACAAGGGCCAGGAGCGUGCGCUUGAGCAUUUUGCCGUCGCCGGCAGAGCCGGAGAUGAGUAGGCCGAGGCGAGGCUGUAGCGGGGGAAGGCGGCGAACGGCGGGCGAUUGGGUAUUUGGAGCUUCGAUUCGACGAAGACGGACGGGGCGGCGCCGCUGCGGUAGAGGGGGAGGGAGUGGAGCCGUCCGGCUAAGGUUAGGGUUGUGAGAAUAAGAACGAGAGAGAGACUAUGUAGCCGAUUGCUAGUCGGAAGAGCCACUUUCGCUCCAUUGUUUGGGGGUGUCUUAGGUGUGUGUAGAUAGCUUUUUCAAUCUCUUCAGACUCUGUCUCUGUCUCUCUCUCUCUCUCUCUGUGUGUGUAUGCGUCUACAAGAGGAGGAGAGAGAUGAUUUGGGAUCAUUUUAGAGAUAAUUAAACUGGUGCUGCUCUCUCUCUCCUCUCUCUCUCUCCCUUUCCCUCUCUCAUUCUGGUGCGUAAUUUCUGUGUAUCACUUUCUCUAUCUAUAUGUAUAUGUCUCUCCCUCAUCUCUCUACAUAGUAGGAGACGGAGUAGUUUGGGGGGAAGUAGUCUUCUGGAGGUGGGUUCGUGGAUUUGUUGUAGCUGGUGGAGAGACGGGACGACGCUAUUUGCAGUUUUUUACUUUGUUCUCUACACCUAUCCGUAAACAACAGUUUUUUUACCCCAAACAUUUUCCUAAUUCCUAUUUUGGGCCAUCGAAUUUUAAUUCAUAGUCGAACCCUAAUUAUCUUUUCUUGUGUUCAAAGUUAAAAUAUAAUUUUUUAUCUAAUUUAAAAAUAAUCUACUAAAGACAAAAAAAUGGAUCAAUUAUUCAGUAAGAUACUUUUAUUUUGUUCGGUGAAAAAACAUCGAAUUAGAUUAAUCUUUUACAUUUCAGACUCAUCUAAUUAUAAAUAUUAGAUAUAAUUUUGAUUAUAAAUAUGGCACUAAAAAAUACAAAAUUCCAAACUAAAUCACCUAAAUUUUUUUAGAAAAUGUUUGACCAAAUUAUAAUCCUAAAGAUGGACCGAUGAUUGAAGAUUUGGGGAUUAUCACUAAUAGACAGGUGCGAUAACACUUAUUAAUAAAUUCUCUCUUUUCUUUAGUUUGAGUGGGUAACAAUACUGAUGAAAAUCACCACGUGCUGACUUAAGGUUCCACCUCACUACCACACCACAACAAGUCCAUACUUAGAUUCGAUGACAUAGGCGGGAAACUACAUGGAAAUUUCCAUCAAUGGUUGUACAACAUAACGAAAAAAAUUACAAUUGAGUACUCAUUACAAAAAUUCAACUUUAAGGGCAAAGUGGAAGGUCCAAAACCUGAGGCACCAAAAGUAUGAAUUUGCACUAGUUUUUCUCAUGAGAAAUAAACAUGGCUAUGUGAAUCGGACGGUCAAGAUGCAAGUCAUUUUUUUCGUAAGCUAAGAUUGGAAGUCCUUUGGAUCCCAUUGAUCUUACUUUGCUAAGAUCGUUGUUGGCCGUUGGAUCAUCAACGAUUUACAAAGGUCCGAGUCUCGGUGGGACCUUGAGAGCAGCUUGUAGAAUAAACUGACAGACAAUAAGUCAAAAAUGCCAUUCUGAUGAAUGUAAGACCAGGAUUGGUAUUCUAGAUGAGGGCACGGGUCCGAGUCACCUCAGAUUAGUACCGAAUGUAUGUAGAUCAUCCAUAUAAAAAAUUAAUUAUAAAAAAAAUUAUAAACACUUGAAUACUAUAUUUAAUAAAAUAAAAUAAGGACGAUUAAGUGUAUAAUUCGAAACAUCAUUCAUUUAUUAAAAUAAAAUGCUAUUUAUCUUAAGAUAUAGAUAUUGUGUGAAUAACGAUAUAUAGAGGAAUACAAGAUGAACUGUACAAAUAAUCGAGUAUGAGCUGCAGGUGGGCGGAGCCCACAAGAAGAGUUUGGAGAGGUAUGGAGGUGAGCGGACUCAAGCCAUGAGACUAUCUGACGGUUAGUUUUCAAAUUAAUUUUGCAUUAUGCUGUUUCAUAAAUUAUUUCAAAAUUAUUUUAGAGAAAAUAUUAUUGUUUUCAAUUAUUAGUUUUUUAACUGAAAAUUAUUUUUUGAGAAUUUAAAAUAAACUUUGUUCAGAUUUUUUCAGAAUGAGUUAUUUUUUAGAAAUUUUAGCAAAUAAUUUCGAAAAAAACUAUCCACCAAAAGUAUUUUCUAAAAACUAUUUUGCGCAAUUUGAUCUGAACUAAACUAUUAAUUUUUUUUAGUCUUGUUUUCAAAUUUCAAUAUUUUUUUUAAUUGUUAUGCUUUAUUAAAUAGAGGUAUCAUGUCCCAUUUCCCUCUUUAUGAUCUAUAGAUUUUUUAGUAGACAUUGAAAAUGGAGAUAUUAUACUUAUUAUCAUCAAUUGAAAUAAUAAGUUUUAGUAAAGACAUAAUUUUUUCAUUGUUUUAGGGAUCAAAUGAUAACGUAUGAUAGCAACAUUUAUAGUGCCUCCAAUCCAAAUUAUAUAUAUCACAGACGUCCUAAGUCAAAAAUAGUGGAUAUAUAAUAAAAAAUUUAUACAUAAUUUUUAUACAGAAUGUGUGUGCUUUUCUUUUAAAUAAAACACUCAUUAAAAUAUAUAUUAUUCUAUAAAAGGGGACCAUUAACCUGUCGCUUCUUGUGGUGACUUAUGCAUAAAUUUAAAUGUUAUAUAAAAAUAUCAUUUUUAGUAAGAAAUCAGAAUGUUAAAUCAUUGGAUGUCAACUGCUACAAAAUGGGUAGUACCAAAAUGGGUUAUACCUAACAAUUAAGGUUUAUACCUAACGAUUAAGGGGCAACUAAAAGUGGACCCUCCAACCUCAAUGAUGUUCACCACCAACCAAACCAAUGCAAUCAGUCAUUAAUAUGUAAAUAUUAUAUCUAUAUAUUAUACUAUACUCCUUAUCUCUACACCCUAAUAUGCUUGUGUGCAUGGGUAUUAUGGAAAAAAAUAGUAACUUUUUAAAUUAUUUAUCAGAGUGUAACAACCUAAAAAACAGAUAAGAUAUAAAAAUCAGAUAAAAGAUACAUUGCAUACAUAUACAAAAAGUACAUGCUACAAAUAAAAAAUAAAUUAAAAAAUAUAAUAAUUUUAAAAAAAAAAUAUUGGUAGUUGGGAUAAAUGUUCUAGUAUGGGAUAAAGUGAGGAAGAAAGAAACGUGUUUUUAAUUUAUUUUUUAUGAGUCUCACUAAAAAACUGAUUCAAGGGUAAAAUAUAUGAUCAGCUUUAGAGAUUUUUUUGUCCAUGGAUCAAAACUUAUAUAAGCCAUACAUUUCGAGAAGAAGGAAGUGAUAAGUUUUUUUUAAAAAAAAUAAGACAGUGAGUAAAUCUCAGUCGUUGGAUUAACUAAAUGGAUUUCAACCGUAGAUAAUUGAAGAAAGUUUUGAAAUUCAAAAUAGUUUGUGUUUAUAUUAUAUAAUACUAAUAAUAAUAAUAAUAAUAAUAAUAAUAAAUUAGUAAGAUGUGACUAUAUUAUGAUCCUAGCGUUUGAAAUCAAGAGCCCCACCAACAUGUUUUAAUAGAAAAAUGUCAUUACCCCCCCAAUCAUAUAGGGAAGUAUUUGAACAUAAAGUUUUCAAAAAAGAAAUAGUUAUAUUAUAGUUUUAAAAUUUCUUAAAUGUACUUUCUAUUGUCUUUAUUAUGCUAAAUACUCAAAUACUCUCUGAUAUGGGUUAAACAUUGAGUUUAAAAGUAAUUAACAAUCCAAAUUCAAGGAUAUUUUUGAAUUUUAUACAUCAUAUAAAAACAGAAUGUAUUUAAAUAAAAAAAAGUAGAAAAUCAUUAUCAAUUUAAUAAAUAUACCUUUGUCCCCUUCCAUAUUAGUUAGGAAGGGUGUCUGAAACUAGUGCAAUUUUGAUAUAGCUUAAUUAAAUAGACAGAAUGAAAUAAAAGCAUAAUGAAACAAAAACAUAAAAGCCUAAUCAUGCUCCUCUUUCUUAAUUCAUUAGCCUUUUUGGGAUGACAAACCCUCCGUACCCAUAAACCCAUCUCUUCUUGUACUAACCGGCCAAGCCAUCCAACCUCCUAAAUUUUAUAUAUGAAUUUUAUUUAUUUAAAAAAAUUAAUUUAUUGAACAUCUAUAACAAAUGCAUGACAAAUCGGGUAUUUUUAAAGAAAUUUCAUAAAUAGAAAGUUUAAUUGUAGAAGGAAAAACUCACAUCCAUCAUUUUUGUUAAAAAACAUAAGAUUUAUUCAUGCGUUCAAAGAUGUCUGAAUCUAAUAAAUUUUGCACGAUACUCUUUUUAUGCUAGGCUUAUACUUAGAUGAACGAUUUGGGAUCCUUAGCAGGAAUUACGGUGGUGGGGACACACUAAGAGAUAUGGAGAGUUGAAUUUUGGGGGGCUCUCUAUUGUAUUUUUUUAAGCCCAGUUUGCAGUACUGUGUUUUUGAAUUUCUUUGUGUUUCAAAUUUUUGUUAUCUCGUGAAUCUUUUUUUUCGUCAUUCGAUUAAAAUUUAUAUUUUUUUGGGACUUCUUUAACAAGAAAGCGUAGUUCGAAAAUAUAAAAAAAAUUAUCGACUUUGAAAAAAGGUUCAUUAAUAGAUUUUAGGUGAUUUUUUAGGGAUAAAAAUAAGUUUAUUUUAUUUUUAUCUUUUGUGAACUUUUGCCGAAUUAGAGAAACUAUUUAGAUUUUGGGACUCCACCCAUCAAGAGAAAGCGAAAAGAUAUAAGAUUUUGAUCAACGGGGGCGAAAAUAAUUUACUAAAACAAAAUUAAAACUAAAAAUGAAAAAAUAAAUAGAAAAACAGGAGGCCUAACUAAAGCCUUAGGCUCCGUUUGGUAGUGAGCUUAAAGCCAGCUUUGUUAAGCUUGCUACAAAAAGGCUAGAAUUUUUUAAUUUUUUGUCUUUUGGGGUUACAGUUUACCUAAAACUAAGUCAAAAAACCAAAAUAAAAAAGCAAAAAAGCCAACUCUGAUUGGCUUUUUUGCUUAUUUUAAGCCAAAAGCCAGGAAAAAGCUGGUGGCCAAACGGCCCUUAUGCUCGUAAUUGGGUUCCGAGGGGGCGGGCGCUGGGGGGUGAUCAACCACCACUCACAGUCUGUAAGCCCACGGGCUGCUAUAGAUAAACUGACCAAACGUCAGUAAAUGUAAUACCUAAGGCAUAUUUGGUCUGACGGAUAUGGAGGCGGAUUAAUUUAAUACCCCCGAUAUUAUUCUCACACAGCAACUGUGACAAUGGAGUGGAUUAAUUUUUUGGUGGCUAGACCUUAACUAAAAGUUAUCCGGGAGACGUGGGUGCGGAGGUGGGGAUAAGAAACAAAUAUAUAAAGACAAACAAAGUGUAAUAAUUUUUUUUAUAUUAUAAAUAGAAAAAUAAAAUAUAUAUUUUUAAUAUUUAAAUAUUUUAUAUUUUAUUUCCCUCUAUAUUUUCUUCUUAUCUCCCAUUCUUAUCUACCAAUUUUAAAAGUAGCCGUUAAAAGAUUAUUUUCCGUGUUUCCCUCCCGAUGUGCGGGUGCCCUGCCAAUGAGCCCUAACUGGUACUACUGCAUACUCAUUUGAUUUGUAAGAAAGGGCCUUUCAUAAAACAAUGAUAUAAAGUUCUUGGGUGCGCGUGCAAGAGAUAUCGCACCAGUGGUCUAGUUGUUAGAAAGUAACCCUGCACGGUACGACCCGGGUUCGAUUCCCGGCGUGGUGGCACUGUGAAAAUCUUUUCAUCAUACCUUUUUUCGCUAGACCAAUUGUUUUGACGAAGUUAAGACCCGACCUCUAUAAAUGACUAAAACCUCUAUCUCCCACCCCCCUUCCUUUCCUCUCGUUUGUGCGUCUGUGAGAUCACCCCGCAGCUAGCCAAGCUCCAUUGCCAUCACCGCCAUUGCUACAAAACACCGUGUACCCCUUUGUCUCAUCCAAAGGAACAUCUCCUCCCCAUCCUCACCUACACAACGUCCCUCACCCACCAGGCAACCCAUCAACAACCCUCACAAAUACGGCGGCGCGCUGCGUUGGUUGAGAAUAGAAGGGAUGUUGGUUGACUGGAGGUAGAGAAGUUGUUGUGGUGCUGGUCGAUUCUGCAAUGCUAGUAGCAGGUUCAAUAGUAUAUAUCCAGUAAUGUUGGUAUUCGAUUGAUGAUUUGGGCAUCAUUAGGGUAUGAUUGGUUAGCCCUUCUAUAUGUCCCUCCUUCUCUCUAUCUACAAUUUGAUGUUUGGACCUCAAUUUGGGUUUGAUUGGUUUAAACCCUCUAUAUUCUCUGCCUCCCUCUUCUCCUUUCUUUCUCCUAAACAAUUCAUGAUUUUUCAAUCGAUUAGGUUUUGAUUGGUUUAUCCCUUCGAUUGAUGAUAAUUUCAUUCUAUAUUUGGGCAUCAAUUCAGGUUUAUUUUGAUUAGAGCAAGUGAUAGGUAUCAUCAUCUAAAGUGAGUGUGUCGAAGACACACUCAUUUUGGCUCUCUCACAAAAUAAGUAGAACCCGCUCUAAUUAGAGUUUUCACGUUUUCUAAAAUUCUAAUUAGAACAUGUCCCACUUAUUUGUGGAGGCAAAAAUGAGGUAUCUAUAUACACUCACUUUUGGGUGUUUACUCAAUCAUAUCAGGGGCAUACUAGUCAUUUCACUUGCUAGGUUAACCUCUGGUAUGAAUCCUUUAGAGUAAAGAGAGAGAGUUUGCAACCCUUUUCUUAUCCUUAACGGCGUUCGCGUUCGCAAUUUGACAUGGACUUUCUUCUGUGGAUCUCGUCAAACCUCAAUUUUCAAAUUACUGGUAUGAAUCCUAUGAUUAGUGGUUUCGACUAAUAUCAAUCUACUAUGAUAUUCCUUUCUGUUUACUGUUGAAUUCCUAUAAUUGUUGAGAAAUUGGUGAAGCAAUAGCCUAUAUGAUUCUGCAGGAAAAAUCAUUAUCAGGUUCACAAUUUUCAACCCUACCUGAAGAUUGUUCAACUUGGGAGGAAGAGAAGGAGUAAAAAUAAAAGUAAACAAAAAAAAUCAUGUUACGUUUCUCUCUUUCUAGCUCUCAGGCUCAGUUUGGUAAAUGUUACAACCUAAGUUUUUUUUAAAUUUAUUAUCAAAAAAGUUAAGAAUUUUUACUUUUUUGCUUUUUUUGCUUUACUUUAGCUAACUAGAAAAAAGCAAAAUUGAAAGCAAAAAAAGCAAUUCUAUUAUUUUUUGGCUUAUUUUAAAGCAAAAAACCCUAAAAAAACUGUAUCAGAAAAAAAAAACAGAACCUUCAAUCAACCAUAGGGUCAUGUUUAUUUUGGAGAUUAAAUUUGCCGAAUUAGAAAUUCAUUGAAUUUAAGGUUGUAUAACAAUUCAUCGAAUUAGUUUUAUGUGACUUUAAUAUGUACUUGUUUUUUUACAAUUUAUAUGAUUGUUGGAUUAAAUAUUUUUUUUAUUGUUCAUUAUUGCUCUUACAUCAUAAUUUUUAACUAAAUAAAAAGUCAGGUACUCCAUAAAUAAAAAAAAAAUCAAUUCUUAACUAGACAGUCAUAUCAUAAAUAAACAACAAUAAUAACAUCCAAAUAAAAAUACUAUAUCACUUUCAAUUAUCGCAAGUUAUAAAACUAGAAUCGUUACAUACUACUAGAGAGAGAAAUUAUAAAAUAUAUAAUUAGUCGAAUAAGAAACCCCAUUAACAGACAAAAUUAGUCACCAAGUAAAAACAUAUGGGGUUAUAAAAGAUUCUAAUACCAUAAUUUAUAUAAUAGGGUCUAAUUGAACAAUAUUCUAUGUUGUAUUUACUUAUGGUAUUAUAGUAAUUUAGGGCAAUUCCAUACUUACUGGAUGUAAUAAUGGGGGAGGUUUAUUACAAAUUUCAUCCAAUUUAGUGGAUUACAAAGUCUCGAAUUACAUAUUACAACCUCAGAGAAAGUCAAUAAAUAUUAUAUUAAUUUCCAACAUAAUUUGUAUUUCAAUUCAAAUUCUUAUCUGAAAACAAUCAUGAUCGGCCCAAACUUGAAUAUUUGAAGUAAGUUUCACCAUAAUAGUGUGAAGAUAAGACUUUCAUGGGCCGGGCCCCAUUCUGAUUUUAUUCAUAUCGGGUGGGGCCUUACGUGGUGGCACCAGUACUUCAAUCCAGUUGGUUUAUUUUCUUAAGAGUCCACUCUUUUGUUUGUGAAGAGAUAUACUAGUUUUCGAGCGGGCCUCUUGAUGGCCCAAUGGAUCAAUCCAUUCCAAUCUCAACAGACUGCCCCUCUUCUUUCAAAGCCUUUCAUACCAAAAUUAUGAGACACUACUAAGUACUUCCGAAUUUGCGAUUGGAGAAAACAAUUUUUGUAAUUUUAUUAGUUGCAAAUAUAGAACGGUGUGUAAAAAAAAAACUUGAUAAUAUGUUGACCUUAACACUCAAGUGAAUUAAAAUACUUGUUCGAUUGUAAUUGAAUUCUAAAAAUUUUUACUUUAGUAUCACGCAUAAUGUCGAGAAUUGUAACAAUGUAAACGAUAUUGUUAUUGGAUAGCGAAAAAAGAAGAGGAACUUUCAAUUGUGUUAACUCGUGUUGCCAUGGUAGCUAAUAGCUAAAAACGGUGGGAAACUUUUAGGAUUGUAAAUGUUAUUACAAUUCAAACAAAGACAUCUUCAAGAUCUUUACUCAAUUAUAUGUCACAUUUUUUAUAAGUUGUCACUUCUCCCACUAAAAUAACGCGUUCUUUAUGCUAACACGUCAUGAUAUGUAGGCUCUGGUGGGUAAUGAUGAAAAGUUAGUUUUUUUAAGUUUGCUAUUAAAAAUUAAAGGAUUUUUUUUGGUUUUUUGCUUUUCUGGCUUUACUUUUCGCUAUAAAAUGAAUAGAAAAAACACAAAAAAAAAACACUUGAUGAUGGGCUUUUUCUUAAAGCUUAAAAAGCUAGCCACCUAUCGAAAAGUGGUACUGAACGGACUCCUUAGUAGCUACAUGACACCCUGAAUUUGGGGUUUAAGAGUGCCCCAAAGACUCUAAACUAUGUAGUGCCAUUUUUGAUCUAUUUAUCAUAUAUGGUCAAUUGUCAUAAUCUGAACAAUUUAUUUGGUCGAGAUCGAUGAGGGAAUUGUAACUUGUACAAAAAAAUCAAAUUGAUCGGAUAUUAAUAGCUAUAUAAUCGAAUGACAUUGUCUUAUAGUUUAUUUGAAACUUCUAUUUUUCAUCAUUUUUUUAAAAUAAAUAGGUCCAGACUACGCGUUGCUACAUAAUGUUCGAUAAUAUAAUAUUUUUAUUAUAUAAUCUAUCAAAGAAGCUCUACAAAGUAUCCGUUUGGAAUCAUAAAAGAUAGAAUAGAUGUACUUUGAGGCCACCGCAGGUUGUAGUGAAUGCCAUCCCCAAAUGCAAAAUCAGGUGGCAUGAAAAUUUGGUGACUACUCGUAUAAAAUGUCGAUGCCAUGGGUGGCAAUCAUCGAAUGCAGAAUCAAUAUCUCAAGCUCCAAAAUGAUUUUCUUGGCAAAGGUUCAAUGAUCUCCAAUUGAACGUGGAAAUACAUAUGAAGUUGGAUGGUGCAAGUUGCAACAACAAUUUGUGCAACUACUCAUAUUACCAAAUCAACAUCAACCACAAGUUUUUGCAAUGGUGGACAUACAUAUCACAGAUUUAGGUAACGUUUAGCAAAUGUAAGCCCAUUCCAGCCUACAGGAUAAUCUGAUCAUUUCAGCCUCCGAAGAUUUACUGAGAUCAUGAUUUCAUACUAAAAAAUCAGGUUGAUUAUGGAUUAUAGUCACAAAAUUGGAUCAUUUUUAUAGGGAUACCAAGUAUAAUUUUAAACCAGACCGUCUAUUUUGUUUAAAAACAAAAUACAUUCGAAUCAUGUGAUUUUUGAUCCUGAGAUCAACUUGAUUUUAUAUGCAUAAAUAAUCUUCUAUGAAGGUGGUUUAUUAGAGUAACGGUGCAAAGUAAACUAAUCAGAUAGGGUCCAGGGUAAGUUCCACAAUUUUGCUAACUUACCGUAAAAUUCACAUUAUAUUUUUUAGAGAUAGAUUUAGACUUAGUAGUUAUAUGUAUAGUAUAAGACUAGAAUUUUGGCUAACAAAUACUAGUUUAUUUGCUUUAAAUUGUUACAUGGUAACUGAGAUAUGGUAUAAAAUGCGCGUGACUCAACGUAUAAUUUAUAGCCUAAUUUGGCUAAAAAAUUUUAUUUGUUGAGAUUUUUUAGUGUUUUUGUUCUUUUCAUCAUAAUGAAUUUUUUCAUUGUUGAUCAAAGCUGUAUAUACAACGAUUUUGCAGAUCAUCAUCGAUACACUAAAUUGUAAUAUUGUUAUUGCAUCCAUGUUUUGUUGAUCCAGAAACUAAUUUAUUAAUGUGCUAGAGCAUUUUAUACUUGAUUUUCUAAAAAGAGCGGGGGUGAAAUAGAAUUAAGUUUGUAAUUAAAUACUCUAACAAAAAGUGCUGGAGUCGCAAACCAAGGUUCAAUAAAAAUAAAAAAUAAAAAAUAAAAUCCGUUUAAAAAAACUUUAAAAAAACUAGGCCAAAUCAGGUCCUUAGAAGGGAUCGUAAGCCUAAAUAUAAAACGUAUAUUUAAUACGUGUAAAAUGUGUAUUAAUUUUUUUUUGACGUUUUGGUGUUUCUUAACCAUUGAGACUUCUACGUUUGUUAGCAUGUCUAGUGGAGUUUCCUUAUUUCAAUUCAUGAACAAAUUCUUCCUAAGACCAUGGCCGUAGUUACGAAAAUACUUGUCUUUCAAGAAAUUAGCUCAAUCUAGCUCAAAAAAAAAAGUUUAUAGUAAUAUUUGCUAAUGAUGAUCAUCGACUAAAACACGUUACAUUUAAUUUCUCAAGGAUUUAAAAGUGUUUGAUUAAGGCCAUGUUGAAAUAGGUUUUUCUAAAGAGUUUUUAACGCAUUUGAUUUUUUAUUUUUUUUUUGUUUUAAGUGGAAUUAUUUUUACCGUUUGAUCAUAAUUUUUAAUUUUUUUGUUUCUUUAACGAGAGAGAGAAAUCGAGAGAGAGGAGAAGAGAGAGAGAUGUUAAAAAUUUUAUUAAAAUUGAAAUAGUUUUUUAAAAAUUCUUUUAACUUAUUUGAUUUUUAAUUUUUUUGCGGUCUUUAAUGAAACUUUUUCACGGUUUGAUCAAAAUUUUAAACUUUUUUGCAUUUUUUUAACGAAAGAAAUCUGAGUAUAUAAAAUUUUAUUAAAAUUUAAAAAAAUCUAGUAAAGACAAAAAAACUAGCAAAUUGGUCGAGUAAAAAUAUUUUAUUUUUAUUUUUAGUAAAUUUUUUUUUAAAUAAGAUAAAAAAAUUUACAUUCUCAGAGUGGUCUCGUCAAUAGGAGACAGAAAAACAUGAAAUUCUAAUCAAACAUUAGAAAAAAUUUACUAAAAAUUAAAAAAUUUAAAAAUCAAAACAGCUAGGGCUUGUUUGUUAACUGUUUAAUUUUUGUUUUUCAGUUUAAUUUCUAUUUUUAAAAAUAAACGUAAACAAAAAUUUGUUUGUGUUGUAAAAAAUAAAUGAAAAUAAGGCUAAACAACUUCCACUAUUUUUAAAAAUAGUGAAAAUAAAAAAAAUUAUUUUUAUUUUAAUUUACAAAAUUUUUUUAUCCAAAUUUUUUAACCACCGCCACCACCACCUCCACCAGCCACCACCACCGCUGCCCACCAAACCAAAACCUCCACCUCCACUCCACCUCCCACCCCCCACCUCACCGAAGCCACAACCACCAUCUCCUCCUCCACCACUAAACCGCCAAAACUCCACGUCACCUUCCACCACCACCAUCGCCGCCUCCACAACUCUCUCCACCUCUACCGCCGACAACCACCACACACACCACCACCUACCACCUCCACUAUCCACCACUCACACCGCCGCCGCCGCCACAACCACCACCAUCUCUCUGCCCACCACCACCUCUACCCCAAAACACCACCACCACACACCACCCCAUCCACUCAACUCAAUCACACCACCUUCUCCUCACCAACACCCGCCACCACACCACAAACCACCACUUCCACUCCAUACCACCACAGCCGCCACACCACCACACCGACACCUCUUCAUUUUUCUAAUAAUAGUUUUAAAAAAAGGUGAACACAAAAUAUUUUUAUUUAAAUAGGUUUAAAAAUAGUAUUUAACAUUGGUGAACACCAAACAGAUUUUUGUAAUUUAUGUUUUACAAAAAAUUAAGUAAAACCAAAAUAAAAAGUUAAAUAAAUAUAACCCUUUUAAAAAAUAAAACGCGGACCCAAAGAUCCCUAGCAUGAGCCAGACUGAGCCCUAGCUACUACCCUUAACUAAUACAAUCGAAAACAUUCAACAGUGAACAAAAAUAAUUACUCAUGUUUGAUGUGAUGUGGGUGAGGUGUAUUAUUACUAUAUAUAUAUAAUAUUAUCAUGUCAAGUGUAGAUUAAGCAAAUGACAUAUAACAAUGUAUGGAUGGAAAUUAUGAGAAAAUCAGAAUCCAAGGCCUAGGUAAUGAUCUUAACGUCAAUAUACCCCAUUUUCGGCUCUCGCGAUUACGGCCUCCGUAUGAGGUUGGAGAAAUGUGAAUACCCCUUUUGGGUAGGAUGAGUUAAUCCAAAUCGAAUAUCUGAAACCCGAUUUGAACCCACCUAAACUCAAAAGUUAAUAAAUCUAUUAUUUUUUUUUUUUUCUUUUUUUUUUUUUUUUAUGUAAUCAUAUAUAUAUAUAAACACAAAUAGGAAUUAUGGUUAGAGCAUUUUCUAACAAUUACUGUUUAUUGGGUUCAUAAGUUAUCUUGAGAUUGAAAUUUAAUCUAUCAAUAAUGUUUUUAUUAAAUAUAAAUAUUUAUACCAUUUUGGAAUUUAUAGAGGCCUUCAUUUGGAUCAAAGAAUUACGGUUGAGAGCAAAAAAAAGGAAAUCACAAAUAAAAAAGGUUAAAGAACCAUAGAGUGAUUCAUUAACUUUCCUUUUCGUUCACAAUUUCAAAAUUUAAUGUGAACCAAAAUAGAUAAUGGGUUUUCCCCCAAUUCUUGAACAUUACGACUGCUAGUGCAUAUAAAAAAAAAUUGAGCCUAUUAGUCUUUUUUCAAUCAAUUUUAAGUUUAUUACCGAAAAAUACUAUCCUAUUAUUGCAAGAAAGUUAUUUGACACAUCGCAAGAAAAUUAUUUCCUAGUUAGGUAUAAAGUAUGCUGAAUGCACGUACUUGACAAAAAUGAUUUCAUUAAAGAUAUAUUAUGUAAGUAAUUGCCUAUACCAUUUAUCUCCAUAAUUGAAAUCGAAAACGAUAGGUAAUAUUCCACAAAAGAUUCUACAUCAACCAAAAAAUUAAUCUUCAUUAUUAUCGAAACUAGACAUGGAGGAUGCCGCGCUGGUGAGUAAUUAGAUGAAUAAUGACAUCUUAAUACAUGGUUUGAAUCUUGAUAAUUAGUACGAAAACCCUAGUCUUUUAUUUUGUUAAAUAAAUUAUUUUAAAAUUUAUUUUUUUUUAAUGGUCGUCGGAUAUUGCGGUCGAUCGCCCGUUUUUAAGCAUGCGAAAGAUUUCAUCUUUGACUCUACCCUCCAUUAGUUAUUCAAAAUUUUUUUGUGGCCCCCACCUGACUCCAAACUGAUAUUCGAACCAUUUAUCUCGGAUAGGCUUCACGAGUAAAAAUUAUCAUGCAAAUAAUAUGGAAAAAUAUUAUUUAUUUUUCUAGUUUUUCUAGAUGAGAAUAUCUUAGUUUUUUAUUUGUUCAAAUUUGAAUUUUUUUUGGUCUUUAGUACUUUUUGAUCAAACUUCAUCAAAGUUUCUUAUUUUUUUAAAUUUAUCUAUUUUAUAAGCACCUUAAAANNNNNNNNNNNNNNNNNNNNNNNNNNNNNNNNNNNNNNNNNNNNNNNNNNNNNNNNNNNNNNNNNNNNNNNNNNNNNNNNNNNNNNNNNNNNNNNNNNNNGAUUGAAAGAUUUUCUGUUUUGACUACAAUUUCCAGGCAAAGAUUUCUCUAUUUCAGUAUAUCAUUGCAGAUCUGCUCUUGAAGCUUUAAAGGUGUACAGUAUACUCACUAUGCCUUGCAAUGUUUUUUCUUAUCUUUGCACUCUAUUCGAUUGUCAAUUUCAUUCUCUAAUGCUGUACAGUAUACUCACUAUGCCUUGCAAUGUUUUUUCUUAUCUUUCCACUCUAUUCGAGUGUCCAUUUUCAUUCCUUCAUGCUGUGAUCUUUUCUUUUUUUGAAGCUAUCUGCAUAUCAAACUGCAAUAGAUAGAAAGAAGAAGAAACAUUGUCGCUUCCUUUAGGCUUAAAUAAUCGAUGUGAUUUUAGACAACUGAAAACCUCGAAAUAGGGAAUGUCUCUAUAUAUAUACUGAUGGAUGUUCAUUGUCUCUGCAGAGAUGAUAUAACUACCAAAUUAAUUUUUCAGCUGUAUCCUACAAGGUUGGUCUCACAUGUGAUACAAGGUUGGUCUCACGUGCUUAGACUGUGGUAUCCUACUUUCGUUAUCUGUUUUUCUUUGGCUUUAUUAACAUACGAAUGGGAACAACAAAUAAUUUCUGGAUGAAAGCAAAAAUAUUUUGUGGUUCUCAUCAUAUCAGCGUGUAAUCAUUGGACUUGUUUCCUUCUGAAUAUGAGGAGUUUGGGUAAGAUGUUUGAAGGAACAAGGUUACAUUGUUGUUGGAAUAUACUUCUAACACAGAAUCUUAGACCCCUAUAUAUUAACUUGUAUCUUACCUUAGCCACUUUAUAUGUUUUCAUUGUUUUGCGUUCAACAAAGCAAUGGAUAGAAUUUCAUUUUUCAUAUAUACUUUAUGGCAGCAGCAACAACAGAUAUGACCAUUAAGUUGCAUAUGGUGGCGUGUAGGGCAAAGCAAAAAAAGUGAACCCAACCACCCGAACUGAACCCAUUGGUUGGUUUCAAACAUUGGGUUGAUCGGUUCCGGUUGAUAUGUGAGCAAUUUUUGAUUGGUGGAUCAAUUUGUGGUUGAAAUAUUUUCAAUUUUGUCAAAACCAAACCAGAAAGAUUACUGAAGGUUACAUGUUGAGAGAUAAAAAUUCGAGUAGAGCAACCAACAAUCACAAUUGCUCAAAAAUCUAAUUUGGGCAACUGCCGCAAGAAAGCAAACGUUACCGGCCAGAGUGAGGCUCCUCAAAACCCCUCUGGCGUGUCGAUCAGGUCUUUUGAAGAGAAAAUAGAAAUCUAAAUCAAAUAUAGCUCUAGACAAAGGCACAAUUGGUAUUACACGUUUCUAGAGAUAGGAGAGCGACUUUUAUAGGUGGAUCUCAAUGGCGUAAGGAGAAGGUGAUACAAUUAUAGGACUCAACCGUGUAUAGAGAUAAUGGUGUAAUGGUCGGAGAUCGUGGGAGGAGAUCAUAGAAUGAUUGGCGGAGGUCGUGGUAAAGGAGCCAUCUAGAGGUCGUAGGUUUCUCGGCUUGGAGAAUUUGGUGACAAGAACAACCAGACAAUUGUUAUUGGCGAGGUGAACUACUGGAUGUUGUCUUUUAGCGACGGAUAACCGGUGUGAUCACGGGCGAAGUAGGGCGACAUAGUCAUCUCCAGAUGAGCUUAUUUCCCUUCUCGAAAGCUAUUGGGUAGCGGAAAUCGAUUCCUUAUCACAUGGGCUCCGCAAAGAAAUGAUACUUUUCACCUACCAAAUCUGCUUUCCCCAUUCAAAGCCGUUAUAGUCUAAAAGGAGAGAGAAUUUCAAACUUCCCCCAAAUUCUUCCCCUUCCCUCUUCUCUCUUCUUGUGUGGUGAGCCGGUGAGCCUUUUCGUCUCUGCUGGUUGGCUCUGAGUCCCCUCUUCAUCUUCCCUCCCCUCUUCUCGCUCAAACUAGUCAAUUUGAAACAUUAUAGCCUAGAAUCCUAAAUCAAUGAUAUGACCUCAAGCGUUCCAAACAUGGCGAGCUUAAGCCUGGCCCAAGCACUUCAGCCUGAAGCAAUAAAGGCCUCCAAACCAAAGAAAAAGGUUGGUGGUGUGUUUGCUGCGAAACCGCUGACUGAACCACCCCACAACAAAACCUGUCAAACCGAAAUGUUUUUGGGGUUUUGCAGUUUGGUCGUUAGUUUCUGUGGGAGGAUAAAUAUUCUUCAAAACCGCUCUUGUUGGGACGGUUGACGGUUUUGGCCAAUCGAGGCCACCCCCGACCUGUGCUCAAGCCCUGGUGGCCGUGUAUGCUGCUGGUCAUUGUGUUUUCCCCAAAAUUCCACCAUUUUUUUUUUUUUUUUUUUUUGAGGGUUCCGGUUUGGGAUGUGACAUUUGCAACCAACCUCCCUCCUUUAUCCCCUUCCACCAAGAUGACGUCCAUUCCACAAGUAUAAUUGCCAUCUUUCCAACAAUGAUUUUAAUGUCCUAUCUUUUGGAAAUCCAAAGUAUAAUUGUUAUUUUAUGUUCCUACUGGGAAGAUAUUCCAAACUUUGCAAUAGGGCCCAUGCUGCUAAAAACUAAAAGGCAUGGCCCGAAUGACUUUCUUAGUCACAUUAACAAAAAGUUAAUAGAAGACGUUCAUAUAACGUGAUUCAUUUUUGCAGUACAAAAUAAAAUGCUCUUAGAAUUGGGAGCAAUGAUUAUUCCGUGCCAGUCCAGUAUAGACAGAUGGGUCGUUGUGACUGCUACUCAAAUUGGACCGUUCAUCAUGGUCAUUACGAAUUGGGGUCAUUUGAUGCAGGAAAUCCUAAGAGGAAAUAGCUUGUGCUUUUCACAAAGAGAACUUGAUCAGAACCUUAUCAGAUGAUGAUAUAUGUACUUUGUUAAAUUGUGCAAGGAUGAUUUCCUUGAUGUUGUUUUUGCGAAUGUCAGGAAUGAGUGUUCGUUCUGUAUUUCAUUGAUUGAUGUGGAAUGGUGGUUUAUCUGGAAAUUCUCAUAUAAGACUAAUUUUCAUGUGUUUACUGUUGUCACAUGCCUGAGAAAGUUAGAAGUUAAGCCAACGACCAGCUAUCAUUUCCAAAAAUUGCAUAAAAAUUAACCUGCAUGCUAAAAUGGAAUUCAUCUUUGAACCCACCCAGAAACAACAAGAAAUGGUUCCUGGGAAAGUUAUGUUUUUCUUUUGUCUUUUUUUUUUAACCCCCUUAUAUUUGUUUUUUUUUUUUUUUUUUUCCUGUGCAGGGAGCCUCUGUCUCUUGUUAUCACCUCUUCACAAUCCAUCUUUUCAGCCACUAAUGAUUUGGCCAUUAGUGUGGUUGCAAAAGAAAAUGUUUGAAAUUGGAUUAGUAUCCUUUCGUGGCUUUUAUUGACCUGAAACAGUUUUGUGUAGAUGUAGACCACUCUCCAUUGAAUUGUCCUGACUGGGAAGUACACGCAGAAUGACGAUUUUGAUAGAUUGUGCUUCUUGCUGGUUGGGAGUUGCAACGAACAGGUAAGUUCUCUUCUUUAAAAUGUCGCAUGACUUAGCAAUUCUAGUGUUAAUGAAAUGAUAUAUCAUAUCUUGGUUGGGGGCGUCUAUUUUGUGUGUAGCUGAGGUGAGACGGAAAUACAGCUUUAUUUUCUUCUACAAAUGAUCUCAUACAUAUUAUAUUAUAUUUUGAGUUCUAUGUGCUUUCUAUUCUUGCAUGUUAUUCUCGAUUUCCUCCCUGGAAAUACCAUAGAUUCAAUUUUCUUAAAAGAACGCUCUCAUUAAUACUUGAGGUAACGCAUGAUCUGAACAUAUGAAAUAAUUAAUAAACUAUAAUUGUUUAACAAGUCAGGGCAGCAAUUAUCACCUAUCUUUCCUCCACUGUAAAAUGCUCUAGUUCAAUAUGAAAGUCAUGAUACAGAAAAGAGGGCCAUAAAGGUGGUAAUGGACAAGAUGCAUAAAACUAUGGCUCCACGGGCCGCUGUGUAACAGUAUACGAUCCUAUAUUGAUGCCAUUUGCAGUCAUCGUUAUCAGUGACUAGCUUGAUUUAUCUGAGCUUUGCAUGUGACUUGGCGAUUCUUCUAGAGCAAUCAAUGGAGAGCAUGGUAUGAUGGUGGUCCAAUCGUCUUUAAUCUCUGCGGCGCUGUCCGCUGCCAUAUAGUGAUUCAUAGUAUAGAAUGUGUUUUAAGUGAUCAUAAAUUUUGGAGUUUGUGCGAUCUCCCUGCAUAAAUAUGUUUUUUAUAUCGAUGACUAGUGGGAGCGAAUAGAAUGUCUUAACUGAAUCCUGAGCAGGGUGUCAUAGGAUACGAAUACUUACAGUUUGGUUGGGAGGAUAGUACGGUGGGAUAACUGGUCGGAGUAGGACUGAUGUCACUGAUUUGUAGCCUGACAACUUCACAAUUUGUGUCGAAGAAAAAGCAGAGAGAGACGGGGCGUGAUCGGAGAAUUUAGCUCGUCAGACUGCGAAAAUAGGAAAGCUUGCUUCUACUUCGUUCCAUUACCACACAAUUGCUGUGCCCAUACCUGCCACCAAUUAACAAAUUCUCAUCUUUCCCUCAUGGACGCGUCGCAGGAAGUUAUCAUCAUCACAGGAUCAUUAGAAAUAGUUAGGUCCAUUUGGAUGAGAUCAUGGAUUUUCAUUCAAAUGAAGGGGGGGGAUUUGAACAUAUUAUUUAUUGAGAAUGGCAUCAAUUUAUGAUAUUACACUGAGUUGGGAAGGCUUCUGCAUGCAUGAUGGAUUUGUAAGUCAAACUAUUUCUAAAAGAGUUGAUUUGUAAAUCUUCAUGGCUAAGAGAUGUUGUAAUGGGCUCUAUUAAAGACAAUUCCAUUCCGACUCGAAUCCGUCAUUCCUAUCUCUGAAUUUCACAAGCGCACUUAUCAGUCUAAAUCUCUAUUAUAUUUUUUGUUAAACUAAACACAAAAUCCCUUAGUUUGAAUAUCUUGCCCCCUCUUGUGUGUCUAGAUGGAGAGUUUUUCAUUUCUACGAUUUGCACAAAGCCUCUUGACUGUGGGCACACAUAGCUCUCUAUGUUGGUUAUUCUCUAAUAUUUCGGGGUAUACCUAGUCGCCGUAGUUCAGCCUUGGUAUAAUUUUAUGAAGAAUGACCUCAUAGGCAGGUGAUCAUAGUAAUUAGGCAACAUCACAAGAUGUGCAUUGUAGAGUAAGCUAUACAUCUCAUGCCGAGUCUGCGUUGCUUUGCUCUCUCUCGCCUGCUUUGCUUUUGAAGACCACCGGAAUACCGUUUGCAUUCAUGAUGAAUACGUUAUAGGUAUGGAGCAAACACUCGAUGGUUUCGUCCUGCUUCCAACCUUGGAACAGCAUCCAGUCGUGCUUGGAGUAGGCGCGCUUCUAGGCUGAUGCAAACUGCUGUAGUGGGCUCUUCCAGUCUUUGCUUCUUUAUGUGCAGUUGUCCUGGCUAAGGCAGUUGUCGUCUAAAGAUUGAUCCUAGUAGUUGAGUCCUCUAACCAGAAUAUGUCCGACUGUCCGUACAAAUAUCAUAUUCCAUCCAUCACUAAUAGGAAGUAAUUCAAUUUAACUUUAAAUGCCGUCACUUGUCAUUAAAUUCUCAUUUAUUUGGACGGCGCUUAUAUUUAGAUUACGUAUUUAUGGUUUAUAUUAUAUGGCUGAUUUGAAAUGUUACAAUGUUCUAGGAGGUUUUCCCUUUUUCUUCCGAUGGGCUUAUUUUUGCUGCUAUUAUUAAUUGUGUAUGUGCAACUUAACGCACUCGUGUCGCAAGUAUGGUUAGAUGGAUGAAUAUUUGACCAUUCCCUGGCAGGGGUCGAGGGAAAGUAGUUCGCCCUUUGAAAAUCUCGGGAGACCCUUGUUGAUUGCCUUCUCCUUCAGAUCCCCUUCUCUUCUCACCAGAAGCCAAUGGGCGCGAUGAAGUCAAAACUAGUGUCCUUCAUCGAUAUGGGCUUACCCGAAAACCGAUCAUUUGUUUCCCAAAUAGCCCAUGAUUACGGGCACAAGCAACCGAACAAACUUUCACGCUCGAUACCCAUCCUCCGGUGCGUAGCGAGGGUCCUCUUCAUUCCACACACUUAUGUACACUCUCCAACUCAUCUUCUUGCUUGGCCAAUGUGGGCUUGUCCCGCACCUGUCAUUGACUGCUGCUUUCUGGUCUUUGCUCGCUGUCUCCUGGCUGGAGAGGCAGUUCGGCUCGGCUAACACUGUUCGUCUUCUCUCAGGAUUGGUCCUCUUUGUAUAGUGAUGUUGUCACUCGUAAUUGAUUCAUACUAUAUGGUGCUUUGCAACCAACGGGCAACCAGCGUAUUUGGUCGUAAGCGUCUUACCCAAUAAAGCUAGGUUCCAGUUUGUGCUUCUUUGGAGUUCCUCUGCUGCCUAUUACAUGUUUCUAGCUAUUUAGAGGAAGGCAUAUCUCUGAAAUCCUGUUAAAAAAAUAAAAAAUUGCUUUUUUGAAUUACAAUUUUUUUUUCGAUUUAAGCAAAGAGGAUUAUGGAAUUUUUUUUGUUGAUAUCAAUAUCCGUAUGUAGCCCGAGAACAUAUGUCGGCUGCAGAUCUGGUAUUUAACGCAUUCGUGUCCAGUUCAGCACAAUUCGACAGCCAAACUCCCGGCAACCGGUUGAUCUCCGUUCAGCGACGUUCCAAGUACGCCACCGCCACAAAGACUCUGGAAUAUCUACAAGAUACAUACAUCGAACUCCUGCAGAACCGAGUUCAAUUCAUCGGCCUGACUAAUUUUUUUUUUUAAUAACUGUUUCGGCCCGGCCAGUAAUUCAGAGGUAGUAAUCCGCCACGCGUUACUAAGGGCUCCAAAAUAAACACUGGAGGCUCAAACUCUGUAUAGACUCCGGGGCCAAUUUAGAACUUGACAGCAGAGCCUAAGCGAACUUUCAUAAGUGCAUGUAGAUCUUGAUAUAGGUAGCAUAACUCGCAAGUCCCGAGCUUAAACCUACUAUGGGUAUGGGCCGCCCCUCACAGGCAAUUAUCCUGAUUGUCUCAAUUCAAUUUUUUACAGUAUUCCUCUAAAACCCUCUCCCUAUAAUUCAUUGGUGAGCAAGGGUGGCACGACGAUUCAUUUUCCGCCUUCAAGAUCAUAAAAUCAAAUCAACUCAAUCAAACCUGGGUCGGCGCCAAUCUGAUCCUGCAAUUUCCUUGUAAGGAAAACACUUAUAAAAACAAUCUCUGACAUGUACAAUAAUGAAGCAAACGAAAGAAGAAUAGAUUUGUGCUCAAAACCUGUAGCUUUAUUAAUCACUCUCGAUUACAACACGUUUUUCCGAUCUCCAUUUCGUGCUUCCAUUGAUCCUCUUAAAAACUUUAAAAAACGGCAAGUGCCAGAACGGCUACGCACUUCCUUGACGGGUUGUAGUUCCUCCGUUAUCCCUAAAUGGCCAGAAGAAAGAUCAUAGAUCCCAUGCCAACCUAUAGAGCGAGAAGUAGAAUAAUCUGUGGGAGUCAUUGGGAUUAUUCCUUACAGUACGUGCUGGUUUACCUAACAGUUCUCAGUCAAUGGCCGGCUGUCUAGGUUUUUGGGUGUAAAGGGUGUGCAUUGCUUUGGUCGCAUCAGAUGUCAGAAAAGAUUGUGGCCUCUCCGUGGGGUUGCAUCAUUUGGCAUAUAAUGUCAGUGAAAUUUGGUUGUGUUGGUUGUGCUGAUGCACGUACUUCACCGUUGGAUUUCACAUGAAAGUUGGGUGAUUUAUCGUAAUGACAGAUAUACUUACGCGCCAUCCCUGAACCUAUUGCAUAGUUUUUUUUUUUGUUGCGCUUACGAACCGCAUGCUGCACUAGAAGAUUGCUAAGCCGUACCCCCUGUGAAGUAUCUUUCGGUAAUCCACUAUAUUUCUUUGUCGCACAAGCGAUUUGUGAAUCAUUCAUGUGAUAUGGCGGCGUGAUCAUUAAUAGGAGAAUGUCCCUAAAAUAGGUCUCAAUGUUGACAAAAAUGAAUUUAUGACAUAAAAAUCUGUGGUCAAAGAUAAACAUAACGUAUAUUUUUUGUAUAUGGAAUACGUGUGAUGUGUGUUUAUAAUAUAUACAUUGCACAGAUCGAUUUAGAAUUCAAUUGGCCUUUCCAAUAACUAAUUCUUUACUAUUGUUAUUGUUUUUUUUUUUUGUUUUUUCUUUUAAGAAACAAGGUAUUAGGAAAACUGUUGGUGGUAAAAAACCGAUAGUAAAACCUUAGUGCUGUGACUUUUUUUAGUGACUAGAUAGAGAUCAUAGAGUAGUUUAGGUUGAAGCAGUUGAUGAAAUGAUGGGGUUGUGGAGGUUUGGGUGUGUUCAAAGGCAUCCAUUACUUUUGUAUAAAAGAAUUUAAAGUAGGGGGCAAAUGAAUAAUUUUGUCUUUUGAAUUUGUGAUAUUUUUGAUUAUAGUUUUUUUUUAGUUCAGUUCAGGCCGGGGUAAGUGACAUGAAUCAUGAUUUAAGGAAUAUAAAGUGUAAUACUCUAUCAUAUUGCAUAUCAUACAGCUGAAGGCCAAAUCAUCCUUAUAAUACUAUGUGGUUUAGGCAGAAUAGUGCCUACCCGUAAAGGCAAUUAUGACAAAUAUUGGAAAUUAUAAUCAUCAUAAAAUUUCAGCCAUCUGUUCUUAUAAUCCCAUCAUCAACAAUAGGAAAGAUCCUUACAAGCAUGUUUGGGAAUGCUUCAUGUCCGCUAUGAUUAAAGAUAUGUCUUGUUCUUGCUGGGGCAAAAGUUUGUUGUAUUGCCGAAAAUUUAGUAAGACAAUCUUUAUAAUUUGCAGCAAAAAUUAUCUUGUCAAACAUGUUAUAUUUUUGAUAUUUGAAUAUUAUCUACUGAUUUUUGAUCACAGUUGACAUUGCCAUCAUGGCAAUAAGAUUAAUUACAUUUUUUUAGUAUUUUGUGAAGCAGCCACUGCCACCUAAUUAAAAAUAACAUUUUACUUUGCUAAAAUAGGGCAUCAACAUUGGAAAAUUACUCUUAACAAUUAGACAGUGCCACAUUUCUUGCCAUAUCAUUAGUCUAAGUUUCUAAUAUGUUUGCUGGAUGCCCUUCUCAAGAGUAACUUGAUGUCAUCUUUAACCAAUCACAUUAAUAUACUUAAUCCUGACUUUCUAGUGUUCUUUUAGCAUUUAUAGAAGAUGCCGCUUACGCUGAUUAAAAGUAUCUUACUAAUACGUCUAAAAGGUGCAUAAUUUGACCUUUUCCAUUAUGGCCGGCAACAUUAAGGUAACUGGCCAAGUGUAGGCGGCGGCGUUUAAAUUUAUUAUAGCAUUAGCGCACAAGCCAUGUUUUGGGAUUCAUAAGCUGAUAGACUAAACUUUAGAAUAAAGUUGUUAAAAUCGGGUCUACUUUUUGAUCUAAUCUAGGAUGAUCUGAAUUGUUCCUUUUAAUAAAUUUAAUUAAAAAGAUCAAUUUAGACAAACAAAAAUAAGUGUGUCCAGAGUAUGCAGUAGUUACAUAUCAAAUCACAUUUGUGCUAAAUAAUUAACGGAAUAUUUUUAAAAAAAAUUCCUUGGGCUAGUUACGGCCCAUACUAAAAAUGACGUCUAAUUAUCAUGAAUGGGUUUCUAUAGAUAAAUAGUUUCGAAUUCAUCAAUGUAAGUUUAAAGGUUGGUCCACAAUUUAACCGAUUUUAUAAUUAUGACUGUGCCUAGGCUUUCUCUAAUAGUCCAAAUGGAUUACAACCCAAUGCAAUGCAAAAGGCAUUUUUUAGUCUAUUUUGUUGAUCUAAAGCUAUUGAAAUUGUAGACUACUAUGUAAGGUUGUACUGAGUCGAAAUUAAGUUGAUUGAGGCAUGUGGUUCAUAUUUUUCUUUCUUCAUUUUGGCUAAUAUGCAAUGUAAUAAGAGUAAUUAACACUUUAUUAUAUUUCGGCGCUUAAACUAUUGUUCAAUGUGCUUUUUGCAUGCAUAUAAUCGUAAGACUAUCAUUAACGUAUUAAAGGUUCAAUCAAAUUAUGCUGCUAUUAUGUGAAUGGUUUUGAAUUAUCAAAAUUAACUUUAUAAAUAAGAAUAAAAAAUAGCUUGGACUGGUCAACAUGAUCUGUGAUGGCGUUAUCAUCGGCACGAGCAAUCGUUCUGGGUGGUUCGCAAAUCCGCUCAAAUGAAUACUUAGAUCGUAAUCAAUAGCAUUCUGUGGGGUCAAUGGGGCUAAUACAAUCGUAAGAUGUAAUUAUAAACGCCGUCAUGCAGUCAGGCAAUAUGCAGUAGCUUUCUUCAAUGGUGUGACAUUUAUAACAAGGAGAUAUGGAGAUUGCGUCCUUGGGAGAUAUCUAUGUCCUCAUCAAUAUCGUAUAAUGACAAUGCUUGUACGUUUACUUCCCUUGCUGCUUUCAUCUUGGGCAGGCUGUUCGCUGCGCACAAUCACUCCACACUCAGUGAAGACUUUUUCUCAUCAAACGCUAGCCAAGUAGCCCACCAUGGCUGUCCUCUUGGGCUAGUCAGAAUAUUUUGUUUUGGGAAAAAAUAUAAUUUUAAUUAAAUUUCUGGCCGUUGGAUUUAAUUCAAAUUAAUUUUAUACAUGUAAAUUUCACACUUCAAUGAAUAGAUUACAGAUUCAAAUUGAGUCUGUGAUUUAUAAUUAUAAUAGUUAGUUUGAAAAUUUAAAAAUAUAUUGGCGUGGCUUUUUAUUAUAUAUUUUUUGUCCUUAUUAAAAUGUUAAAUUUUAUUUAAAUAUUAUUUUUACUUAAAUAUUUUAUUAAAAUCUUGGGAUAAUAAUUUCAUAUAAAUAUAAAUAAAAAUGACGUAUGACAAUAAUUUUAUUUCCAUUUGAAGUAAUUUUGUAUCUGCUUUAUUUUCAUUCAGAUCACAUACCCUUUAAUUGUUUUUAGUGAAUUUUUUUCAAAUCGAUUAAUCAUUUUACUAUUUUUUUCUUUCGAUUUCUCUCUAUGAAAAGAGCUUAUAAAAUAUACAUAAUAUAUAAUUUAGUAAGAGAAGUUUACUAAAAAACUAUAAAAAAAUAUUAUUUCCUGCUCCAAAUUAAUUAUUUUUUUAUAUUUUUAGUGUUCUCAUCAUCAAAAUAACUAAAAAUAAUUUUAAAAAAUUGAGAUCAGAAUAGUAAAAAAAAUAUAUUAGAUAACAAAAAGCAAAAAUCAGAGAAAGAGAUAAAGGUGUUUUAACAUUUUUUAAAUUGUGGGCCUCCACUUUAAAAAUGAACCCUAAUAAUAAAUAUAUGGCUAUUUUUAAAGGUUUUGUGUGCGCAUUGAAUAAGAGUUUCUGUGGUUCUCACACAAAGCCUUUUGGGGAGAAGGGAAGUUAUAGGUUUUUGGACAUAAAAAAAAUAUUUUCAAGUAAAUUUCAGUCCUGUUAGAUUAAUCUCAGUAAUGGUUUCCAAUCGUGUCUAGUGAGAGAUAGAUUUGAAUUUUCAAAAUAACUUGUGAUUUUAUAAUCUAUAUUGAGACUGUACUUGAAAUUAAUAAUUUUUUUUUUUAAGAAAAUUAUAAUCUUUUAAAACCGUAGUCAAUACAUAUAAGUAAAUUCAUAUAUAUCUAGAACAUAACUUUUUAUCAAUAUUCAUCGCAAAAAAAAUUAUAUAUUUUUUCUAUAAUUUUUUGAUAUAAAAAUUCAUAAGUGAAGUAAAAAAAAAUCAAGGGUAUAAAUGGAUAAUACAUUGUACCUCGUCCUGAGAUUUCAAGUUAAUGCCAAACGUUUGAAAAUAGCACUGACCGUGCAUUCUCGUCCCUCUGAGUGUUUUAAGUUAAUCAUCAAGCAAUCCUCCUUCCAGUUCAAGUGGCGAAAUUUGUCCGCCUGCCCUUGUAAAAUUACUAUUUUGCCCUCAACACCUAUGGACAAUAUACUAUAUUGUCAGUGUCAUUGCCCUCCAUCUCUCCAUCCUCUCUGCUCUUCUCUCUCCUCGUUAACUUUUUUUAAGUUUUGUUUCUCUUUUUAAUAAUUUUAUAUUUUUUUUUAAUAAUUAUAUAUUUUUUUUUAUUAAAUCUUUUUUUUAUUAGUUUCUUUAUUUUUUUUGGGGGGAAACAUAAGUUUUUUUGUUGAAAAUUUACCUAUUUUAACCUUUUUUUUUCCUUUUUUAACAUCCAAUUAAAAAAAGGGUAAAUUAUGCUAACCACCCCUGAGAUUUGAGUUUAAUACACAAACAUAGUUUAUAUUAUUAUUUUACUAAUUCAAUUUUAAAUACUUUGUUUUAGAUAAACUAGUUUUUAUUUUUUAAAAAAAAUAGCUAUUUGAUUUUUUAUUUUAGUGAAUUAUUUUUAAACUAUUUUGAUAAAAAUAGUUUGAGAUGAGACAAUUCGUAAUAAAAGUAUAUAUAUAUUGAUUGGUACUACCAUAGAGGAAGUGAAAAUGAAAAUUUAUUAAGUGGCAAAAUCUCAACUGGAUGCCGAAAUGAUUACUUUAUAGA